UACGUAGGGGCAAGCGUUGGUCCGGAUUUAUUGGGCGUAAAGAGCGUGUAGGCGGCCAGGUAGGUCUGCUGUGAAAACUCGAGGCUCAACCUCGAGACGUCGGCGGAAACCAUCUGGCUAGAGUCCGGAAGAGGAGAGUGGAAUUCCUGGUGUAGCGGUGAAAUGCGCAGAUAUCAGGAAGAACACCCGUGGCGAAGGCGGCUCUCUGGGACGGUACUGACGCUGAGACGCGAAAGCGUGGGGAGCGAACAGG
rnacentral:rRNA from 1 species